rnacentral:rRNA from 1 species
AGCACCGGCUAACUACGUGCCAGCAGCCGCGGUAAUACGUAGGGUGCAAGCGUUAUCCGGAAUUAUUGGGCGUAAAGGGCUCGUAGGCGGUUCGUCGCGUCCGGUGUGAAAGUCCAUCGCUUAACGGUGGAUCCGCGCCGGGUACGGGCGGGCUUGAGUGCGGUAGGGGAGACUGGAAUUCCCGGUGUAACGGUGGAAUGUGUAGAUAUCGGGAAGAACACCAAUGGCGAAGGCAGGUCUCUGGGCCGUCACUGACGCUGAGGAGCGAAAGCGUGGGGAGCGAACAGGAUUAGAUACCCUGGUAGUCCACGCCGUAAACGGUGGAUGCUGGAUGUGGGGACCAUUCCACGGUCUCCGUGUCGGAGCCAACGCGUUAAGCAUCCCGCCUGGGGAGUACGGCCGCAAGGCUAAAACUCAAAGAAAUUGACGGGGGCCCGCACAAGCGGCGGAGCAUGCGGAUUAAUUCGAUGCAACGCGAAGAACCUUACCUGGGCUUGACAUGUUCCCGACAGCCGUAGAGAUACGGUCUCCCUUCGGGGCGGGUUCACAGGUGGUGCAUGGUCGUCGUCAGCUCGUGUCGUGAGAUGUUGGGUUAAGUCCCGCAACGAGCGCAACCCUCGCCCUGUGUUGCCAGCACGUCGUGGUGGGAACUCACGGGGGACCGCCGGGGUCAACUCGGAGGAAGGUGGGGAUGACGUCAGAUCAUCAUGCCCCUUACGUCCAGGGCUUCACGCAUGCUACAAUGGCCGGUACAACGGGAUGCGACCUCGUGAGGGGGAGCGGAUCCCUUAAAACCGGUCUCAGUUCGGAUUGGAGUCUGCAACCCGACUCCAUGAAGGCGGAGUCGCUAGUAAUCGCGGAUCAGCAACGCCGCGGUGAAUGCGUUCCCGGGCCUUGUACACACCGCCCGUCAAGUCAUGAAAGUGGGUAGCACCCGAAGCCGGUGGCCCAACCUUUUUGGGGGGAGCCGUCUAAGGUGAGACUCGUGAUUGGGACUAAGUCGUAACAAGGUAGCCGUACCGGAAGGUGCGGCUG